GACGAACUGCCCAACCGUUGUUCGGAAUCACUGGGCUUAAAGGGCGCGUAGGCGGCCGAUCAAGUCAGGGGUGAAAUCCGGCAGCUCAACUGUCGAAGUGCCUUUGAUACUGAUUUGCUCGAGGGAGAUAGGGGUCUGUGGAACUUCUGGUGGAGCGGUGAAAUGCGUUGAUAUCAGAAGGAACGCCGGUGGCGAAAGCGACGGACUGGAUCUCUUCUGACGCUGAGGCGCGAAAGCUAGGGGAGCAAACGGG
rnacentral:rRNA from 1 species